UUGUGACUCAGUGGUAGAGUGCUUACCUAGCAUGGUUGAGGACCUGGAUUCAAUUCCCAGUACAUAAA
rnacentral:tRNA from 1 species